GGGUGGUAAUGCCGGAUGCUCCAUCACACCGCAUGGUGUGUUGGGAAAGCCUUUGCGGCAUGGGAUGGGGUCGCGUCCUAUCAGCUUGAUGGCGGGGUAACGGCCCACCAUGGCUUCGACGGGUAGCCGGCCUGAGAGGGCGACCGGCCACAUUGGGACUGAGAUACGGCCCAGACUCCUACGGGAGGCAGCAGUGGGGAAUAUUGCACAAUGGGCGCAAGCCUGAUGCAGCGACGCCGCGUGAGGGAUGGAGGCCUUCGGGUUGUAAACCUCUUUUGUUAGGGAGCAAGGCACUUUGUGUUGAGUGUACCUUUCGAAUAAGCACCGGCUAACUACGUGCCAGCAGCCGCGGUAAUACGUAGGGUGCAAGCGUUAUCCGGAAUUAUUGGGCGUAAAGGGCUCGUAGGCGGUUCGUCGCGUCCGGUGUGAAAGUCCAUCGCUUAACGGUGGAUCCGCGCCGGGUACGGGCGGGCUUGAGUGCGGUAGGGGAGACUGGAAUUCCCGGUGUAACGGUGGAAUGUGUAGAUAU
rnacentral:rRNA from 1 species